rnacentral:rRNA from 1 species
AUGCUUUACACAUGCAAGUCGAGCGGCAGCGCGGGGCAACCUGGCGGCGAGCGGCGAACGGGUGAGUAAUGCAUCGGAACGUGUCCAUGUCGUGGGGGAUAGCCCGGCGAAAGCCGGAUUAAUACCGCAUACGCCCGAGAGGGGAAAGUGGGGGACCGCAAGGCCUCACGCGAUUGGGUCGGCCGAUGUCCGAUUAGCUAGUUGGCGGGGUAAAGGCCCACCAAGGCGAUGAUCGGUAGCUGGUCUGAGAGGAUGAUCAGCCACACUGGGACUGAGACACGGCCCAGA